UUCGCCUUCACGAAGUCGGAAUUGCUAGUAAUGGCAGGUCAGCAUACUGCCGUGAAUACGUUCCCGGGCCUUGUACACACCGCCCGUCCACACCAUGAGAGUUGGGGAUACCCGAAGCCUGUGAGCUAACUUUAUAAGGAGCAGCAGUCGAAGGUAGAAUCAAUGAUUGGGGUGAAGUCGUAACAAGGUACC
rnacentral:rRNA from 1 species